GAGGAAUAUUGGUCAAUGGACGAGAGUCUGAACCAGCCAAAUCGCGUGAAGGAAGACUGCCCUACGGGUUGUAAACUUCUUUUGUACAGGAAUAAAAGACAUUACGUGUAAUGUAUUGCAUGUACUGUACGAAUAAGCAUCGGCUAACUCCGUGCCAGCAGCCGCGGUAAUACGGAGGGUGCAAGCGUUAUCCGGAUUUAUUGGGUUGAAAGGGUCCGUAGGCGGACUUAUAAGUCAGUGGUGAAAGCCUGUCGCUUAACGAUAGAACUGCCAUGGAUACUGUAAGUCUUGAGUAUAUUUGAGGUAGCUGGAAUAAGUAGUGUAGCGGUGAAAUGCAUAGAUAUUACUUAGAACACCAAUUGCGAAGGCAGGUUACCAAGAUAUAACUGACGCUGAGGGACGAAAGCGUGGGGAGCGAACA
rnacentral:rRNA from 1 species